GAGCUCAGAUUUGAAAUCGUGCUUUGCGGCACGAGUUGUAGAUUGCAGGUUGGAGUCUGUGUGGAAGGCGGUGUCCAAGUCCCUUGGAACAGGGCGCCCAGGAGGGUGAGAGCCCCGUGGGAUGCCGGCGGAAGCAGUGAGGCCCUUCUGACGAGUCGAGUUGUUUGGGAAUGCAGCUCCAAGCGGGUGGUAAAUUCCAUCUAAGGCUAAAUACUGGCGAGAGACCGAUAGCGAACAAGUACUGUGAAGGAAAGAUGAAAAGCACUUUGAAAAGAGAGUGAAACAGCACGUGAAAUUGUUGAAAGGGAAGGGUAUUGCGCCCGACAUGGGGAUUGCGCACCGCUGCCUCUCGUGGGCGGCGCUCUGGGCUUUCCCUGGGCCAGCAUCGGUUCUUGCUGCAGGAGAAGGGGUUCUGGAACGUGGCUCUUCGGAGUGUUAUAGCCAGGGCCAGAUGCUGCGUGCGGGGACCGAGGACUGCGG
rnacentral:rRNA from 1 species